rnacentral:rRNA from 1 species
AUAACAAUACAGGGCGAAUGUCUUGUAAUUGGAAUGAUGGUGACCCAAACCCUCACCAGAGUAGCAAUUGGAGGGCAAGUCUGGUGCCAGCAGCCGCGGUAAUUCCAGCUCCAAUAGCGUAUAUUAAACUUGUUGCAGUUAAAAAGCUCGUAGUUGUAUCUUUGCGUUGACGGUUUGACCAUUUGGUUGGUUAUUUCGUUUUCGCUUUUGGGAAUUUCCCUUUUUACUUUGAGAAAAUUAGAGUGUUUCAAGCAGACUUUUGUCUUGAAUACUUCAGCAUGGAAUAAUAGAGUAGGACUUUGGUUCUAUUUUGUUGGUUAUUGAACCUUAGUAAUGGUUAAUAGGAACGGUUGGGGGCAUUC